rnacentral:rRNA from 1 species
UGACUCCUACGGGAGGCAGCAGUGAGGAAUAUUGGUCAAUGGGAGAGAUCCUGAACCAGCCACGCCGCGUGAGGGAAGACGGCCCUAUGGGUUGUAAACCUCUUUUGUCGGAGAACAAAACCCGGGACGUGUCCCGGACUGCGUGUAUCCGAAGAAAAAGCAUCGGCUAACUCCGUGCCAGCAGCCGCGGUAAUACGGAGGAUGCGAGCGUUAUCCGGAUUUAUUGGGUUUAAAGGGUGCGUAGGCGGUCCGUUAAGUCAGCGUUAAAAUUGCGGGGCGCA